GUACAAUCCUAGUGUUUUCUCUGAAUUAGGAACCGGAUUCGGGCAUGUAGACAAGGAGUGAACCGUUCAGGGUGCUCAGGAGAGAAAUCCGCAAGGAAAUAAAUAUCACAGCCUCUCCAGGCAGCUGAUCCGACCAGAAAAAACAAACACUGAAAUGCUCCGUCAGCGCGAAGGGGGAUGGAGAGAACAGUCUCAGGGGCUCAGUUCGCCUCGGGGAACUUCAUGGACAGAAGACGUGGACCCCCACAACGGUGAAGGCCGCCUGGUUCACAGUCAGGUCUCGCGCUCUCCUGGUUAACGAUUCCUGUUUUAAAACGGAAGACCCAGACUCCAAUGUAAUCUUGUCUUCAGGCUUGAAGAGAAAUAAAAUGCUAGUUUAAUCAUUGAUACAUAAGUAAAAGGAAGAAAAUCCUCUCCAGAGAGUCGAAGUGGCUCUAUUGUACUUCCAGACUGUAAAUGUAUGAAAGAAACUUCCAAGGGGAAAAACCUGCCCCAGAGUAGCCUUUUAAAAUGUUAAACUGCUGCACUUUGGAAACCGAGAUAAAGAGCUCUGUACCCGGAGCUAUUUCCCUGUUCCUUUUUCCUGAGCUAAACCUCCUAGGUAAUGGUUCUUUUCAUCUGCUUUGUCCUGGAGAAACGUUUUAUGUGGUGGCUGCUGUGUCGUCACAGUAAUCAGAGGUGCACGAGUCAGAUUUGGCCUUUGGAAAACAACCCGGAUAAUGACUGCCUGUAAUGAUAUAAAUGUUUAAAUAACAACUGGAUUUUAAUUUAAUCUAACGGAAGUAAAACUUAGCAUGUUGUUUACCCAGUGCCGUUCCUUGUAAGUGUCCACCCUGUCAUCCAGACAACCUCGGACCCUGCAAGCACCAUCAGGAGCAUAGCAGAGUAAACAGCAAAAGGUGCUUGAAGGCAAAUAAUAAUAACCGUGCAGGGCACGGGAGCGACACGUGCCCAGAGUGAGUUUCUGGCUGCCUAAAGCCAUGUGCCUGGCUUUGAAGAGAGCUGAAGAAAUGACCAUCUGAUGUUCAGAAGUUAAGAUGAAACAGUUAAGGAGUUUCCUCCUCAAAAUCCAUAAUCCUCAUCUAAUCUUGAGGAAAACAUCAGUUGAAUCCUAACUGAAGAGCCUUCUGCAAGUUUCCUGACAAGUACCCCUCAAAACUGUCAAGGUCGUCAAAAACAGGAAGUCUGAGAAACUCUCGCGAGACAGUUUAAAGGCAAGAGAGGUAAAUACUAAAGGCAACGUGGUUUCCUAGACAACUUGCUGGAACAGAAAAGGGGCUUUAGAUAAAA